GAUGAACGCUGGCGGCGUGCCUAAUACAUGCAAGUCGAGCGAACAGACGAGGCGCUUGCUCCUCUGACGUUAGCGGCGGACGGGUGAGUAACACGUGGAUAACCUAUCUUUAAGACUGGGAUAACUUCGGGAAACCGGAGCUAAUACCGGAUAAUAUAUUGAACCGCAUGGUUCAAUAGUGAAAGACGGUUUUGCUGUCACUUAUAGAUGUAUCCUCGCCGCAUUAGCUAGUUGGUAAGGUAACGGCUUACCAAGGCAACGAUGCGUAGCCGACCUGAGAGGGUGAUCAGCCACACUGGAACUGAGACACGGUCCAGACUCCUACGGGAGGCAGCAGUGGGGAAUCUUCCGCAAUGGGCGAAAGCCUGACGGAGCAAUGCCGCGUGAGUGAUGAAGGUCUUCGGAUCGUAAAGCUCUGUUAUUAGGGAAGAACGAAUGUGAAAGUAACUAUGGACGUCUUGACGGUACCUAAUCAAAAAGCCACGGCUAACUACGUG
rnacentral:rRNA from 1 species